UAAGCGGAGGAAAAGAAACUAACAAGGAUUCCCCUAGUAGCGGCGAGCGAAGCGGGAAGAGCUCAAAUUUAUAAUCUGGCACCUUCGGUGUCCGAGUUGUAAUCUCUAGAAGUGUUUUCCGCGUUGGACCGCACACAAGUCUGUUGGAAUACAGCGGCACAGUGGUGAUACCCCCGUACACGGUGCGGACGCCCAGCGCUUUGUGAUACACUUUCAAUGAGUCGAGUUGUUUGGGAAUGCAGCUCAAAUUGGGUGGUAAAUUCCAUCUAAAGCUAAAUAUUGGCGAGAGACCGAUAGCGAACAAGUACCGUGAGGGAAAGAUGAAAAGCACUUUGGAAAGAGAGUUAACAGUACGUGAAAUUGUUGGAAGGGAAACGCUUGAAGUCAGACUUGCUUGCCGGAGCUUGCUUCGGUUUGCAGGCCAGCAUCAGUUUUCCGGGGUGGAUAAUGGUGGUUUGAAGGUAGCAGCCUCGGCUGUGUUAUAGCUUUCCACUGGAUACAUCCUGGGGGACUGAGGAACGCAGCGUGCUUUUUGCGAAGGUUUCGACCUUUUCACGCUAGGAUGCGGUGUAAUACU
rnacentral:rRNA from 1 species